rnacentral:rRNA from 1 species
AUAUCAAUAAGCGGAGGAAAAGAAACCAACAGGGAUUGCCUCAGUAACUGCGAGUGAAGCGGCAAAAGCUCAAAUUUGAAAUCUGGUACCUUUGGGUGCUCGAGUUGUAAUUUGGAGAGGCAACUUCGGAGGAGGCGCUGGCCUAAGUUCCUUGGAACAGGACGUCACAGAGGGUGAGAAUCCCGUGCUUGGCUGGCUGUCCUCCUUCAUGUGAAGUGUCUUCGACGAGUCGAGUUGUUUGGGAAUGCAGCUCAAAAUGGGUGGUAAACUCCAUCUAAGGCUAAAUAUUGGCGAGAGACCGAUAGCGCACAAGUAGAGUGAUCGAAAGAUGAAAAGCACUUUGAAAAGAGAGUUAAACAGUAC